UUAAGUUCAGCGGGUCUUCCUACCUGAUCCGAGGUCAACCUUGGGUAAAUAAGGCUUUUAACGGCCGGAACCCGCAGCACGCCCUGAGCGAGAUGUAUUACUACGCUCGGAGCCGGACGGCACCGCCACUGAUUUAGGGCCCGCCGGGGCGGCGGGGCCCAACACCAAGCAGAGCUUGAGGGUUGUAAUGACGCUCGAAC
rnacentral:misc_RNA from 1 species